rnacentral:rRNA from 1 species
UACGUAGGGUGCAAGCGUUGUCCGGAAUUAUUGGGCGUAAAGAGCUCGUAGGCGGUCUGUCACGUCGGCUGUGAAAACCCGAGGCUCAACCUCGGGCCUGCAGUGGGUACGGGCAGACUAGAGUGCAGUAGGGGAGACUGGAAUUCCUGGUGUAGCGGUGGAAUGCGCAGAUAUCAGGAGGAACACCGGUGGCGAAGGCGGGUCUCUGGGCUGUAACUGACGCUGGAGGAGCGAAAGCGUGGGUAGCGAACAGG